rnacentral:rRNA from 1 species
AUUGAACGCUGGCGGAAUGCCUAACACAUGCAAGUCGAGCGGGGGUAGCAAUACUUCAGCGGCGGACGGGUGAGGAACACAUAGGAAUCUACCUUUAGGUGGGGAUAGCCAGGGGAAACUCUGGGUAAUACCGCAUGAUCUCGAGAGAGCAAAGGGGCGCAAGUCUCGCCUUUAGAGGAGCCUAUGUCUGAUUAGCUAGUUGGCGGUGUAAUGGACCACCAAGGCGAUGAUCAGUAACUGGUCUGAGAGGACGAUCAGUCACACCGGAACUGAGGCACGGUCCGGACUCCUACGGGAGGCAGCAGUGGGGAAUAUUGGACAAUGGGCGAAAGCCUGAUCCAGCAAUUCCGCGUGUGUGAAGAAGGCCUUCGGGUUGUAAAGCACUUUAGUUGGGGAAGAAACAGCUUGGCCACACCAAGCCUUGACGGUACCCAAAGAAUAAGCACCGGCUAACUCUGUGCCAGCCGCCGCCGUAAAAC